rnacentral:misc_RNA from 1 species
AAGUCGUAACAAGGUAACCGUAGGUGAACCUGCGGUUGGAUCAUUAAUAAAUCCAUCCCUUGCUUUAUAAGGUUUGUUUUGGAUUCAUUCAGACAAAUCUUAUGGGCAAUUUCUGGUUUCUCAUUGACUUUUUGUCAAUUUGAAUACCAAUCAUAACCUACUCUUCACUUGUGUAAAAACAUGAAGUUUAGGUGUAAAAAUGAUUUUCUGGUAUUGUCAUUUAUGUCAUACCUUAAAAUCGUAAUAAGGAUGAAAUCCAAUAUUACAAAAAUUCAUAACUAAAAACAACUUCUGGCAACGGAUCUCUUGGCUCUU